rnacentral:lncRNA from 10 species
CAGAGGCAGGCAGGCCUCCUUGAGCUGUGGUGGGCUCCACCCAGUUGGAGCUUCCUGGCUGCUUUGUUUACCUAAGCAAGCCUGGGCAAUGACAGGCGCCCCUCCCCCAGCCUCGCUGCCGCCUUGCAGUUUGAUCUCAGACUGCUGAGCUAGCAAUCAGCGAGACUCCGUGGGCGUAGGACCCUCCGAGCCAGGUGCGGGAUAUAUUCUCCUGGUGCGCCAUUUUUUAAGCCCGUCGGAAAAGCGCAGUAUUCGGGUGGGAGUGACCCGAUUUUCCAGGUGCUGUCUGUCACCACUUUCUUUGACUAGGAAAGGGAGCUCCCUGACCCCUUGUGCUUCCCAAGUGAGGCAAUGCCUCGCCCUGCUUCAGCUCGCACAUGGUGCGCGCACCCACUGACCUGCGCCCAGUGUCUGGCACUCCCUAGUGAGAUGAACCCGGUACCUCAGAUGGAAAUGCAGAAAUCACCCGUCUUCUGCAUCGCUCACGCUGGGAGCUGUAGACCGGAGUUGUUCCUAUUCAGCCAUCUUGGCUCCUCCCGAAAGAAGGGUGUCUACUGGUGGCUGUUCUUUGUCAUGCAACUUUUAAUUCAUUAGCGGCUUGAAAUAAAGCAGUGAAAAGAAGACAAAAGUUUCUAUCCUCAUACAGAUUACUGUUUAAUAAAAUUAUAAUGUUUGCUUUUACUUACAUGCCACUAAUUAUUUGUUACUCCACAUGAAACUUUUCAUCAAGUAUAUUUCAGGCUAGUAAUUCAUAGGUAAUAGAAAAUUAUGACUAAUUAUAUCAGUCUAUUGCAGACUGGGUUAAACAACAAAAAAUUAUUUCUCACAGUUCUGGAGGCUAGAAGACCAGGAUCAAGGUUUCAUCAGGGUUGGUGUCCGGUGAAGUCUCUCUCCCUGGUUUGUAGAUGGCCACCUUUAGUCUGUAUACCAAUGGCCUCUUCUCUGUAUGCACACUGGGAGAGAGAGAUGUCUGACGUCUCUUCCUUUUUUUUUUUUUUUUUUUUUUGAGAUGGAGUCUCACUCUGUUGCCCAGGCUGGAGUGCAGUGGUGCGAUCUCGGCUCACUGCAACCUCUGCCUCCUAGGUUCAAGCAAUUCUCCUGUCUCAGCCUCCCGAGUAGCCAGGAAUAUAGGCACACGCCGCCAG